UGUUGGUAAUCCAUACUCAAGAAAGAAUGACCCAAACGAACAGGGGCGAGAAAGAAAACAACGUAGACUGAUCUGGUCUAUGUUUUCCUUCUCGUCCUUGGUCGUUCGCGUCAUUACUCCUUGUCUCUUAUUCGAUAAGAUUCCAAAGUAUCGGUAUUGGAAUAGCCCUUUCAUUCAUUUGGGGUUGAAUCUCUGGGGCGGAAUUAUUUUAGUGUGUGGUUGCUGGGUUCCCAAACAGUCGAAUACCAGCAAGAAAUUGAAGCAAUUGUUUCUUCUAACUUGGCUUCGGUAAAGCGUAAUUUUGCUGAGAAAAGAACCCUGCAUGCAAGCCGGAAAAAUGCUACAGAUCACUCAAAUGUCUGUUGCUAUGCCACAGGAAUGUUUGCAAAAAAGCUAAAACAAGAUGCAUGUGGAGUUUAAAAAUCUGUUCGAAACCGACUCGUAGUUUGAUUUAUUUGUCUUUUACGUUCUCUUCAGUAUUUACAGAGUCACAGUCAUUCAGCUGAAGGUAGUACUCGUUGGUUUGGCCAUUCUUGGUCUCAUCCAGGCAGGGAGCGAAGCCGCACCUGUCAGCCCCGUCGUUGCAGACGGGACCAGGGCUGAUUCCGUGACCGCUGAUCGCCCAGACCAGAGCAGCGAGGAGAAAGCGCGCAUUGGAGAGGGCUGUAUGGCAUCCCUCUGUGGAUAGCCACGCUUGCAAAAUAGGGACUCGUGCAAAAAAACCCGAAUACUUCGAUAAGAAUUGAGAGGCAUUCCAAGCACGUCAGUAUAAUGGCGGGCCUCGAGUAGUUGCGGAUGGCUUUUCUACAUGUUCGUGCAAUAAAAUGAAGUAAGAUAU
rnacentral:lncRNA from 1 species